rnacentral:lncRNA from 1 species
CCUGCAAGUAUGUAUUAUUUUGUAAAUUCAAAGAAAUUCUUUUCAACUUUAAUUUUUGCAAAAACUGCAUUUUAUUCUAUUUCAAGCAUAAAAAUACCCCAAAAAACUGAAAAAUGAUUGCUCUUCUGUCCAACAUGCUGUAUAUCUAAACCUAAUUGAUCUGCAUCUUUUCAUGAAAGCUGACAGAAGGCAUACUUGCUGAAAAAACAAAAACAACAACAGUAUCUUCUUGUAGUUAUUAUAUUGCAUAACAUGUUCUGAGUCUUCUUUCAUUAAGUGGCCUGAAAAUUCAUUCAUAAAACCGGUAGUAGGCAUAUAUUAUGAUUUAGUCGAA